rnacentral:rRNA from 1 species
UGGGGAAUAUUGCACAAUGGGCGCAAGCCUGAUGCAGCCAUGCCGCGUGUGUGAAGAAGGCCUUCGGGUUGUAAAGCACUUUCAGCGGGGAGGAAGGCGAUAAGGUUAAUAACCUUGUCGAUUGACGUUACCCGCAGAAGAAGCACCGGCUAACUCCGUGCCAGCAGCCGCGGUAAUACGGAGGGUGCAAGCGUUAAUCGGAAUUACUGGGCGUAAAGCGCACGCAGGCGGUUUGUUAAGUCAGAUGUGAAAUCCCCGGGCACAACCUGGGAACUGCAUCUGAUACUGGCAAGCUUGAGUCUCGUAGAGGGGGGUAGAAUUCCAGGUGUAGCGGUGAAAUGCGUAGAGAUCUGGAGGAAUACCGGUGGCGAAGGCGGCCCCCUGGACGAAGACUGACGCUCAGGUGCGAAAGCGUGGGGAGCAAACAGG